GGACAGAUGCAAGUUGAUAUACAAUGGGGUUUCAUGUCCCAUGCUUAUUUGCAGAUAAAGUAUCAACAUUUGGCUACAGCGUCUUUCCAGUGAGAUUUAAGUUUAAGUUAUCUGUGCACUUUCAAGGUGGGCUUUUCUAAUCUUAUUCCUCUAACUGUAUGCAGUUGGAAACAAAUCCUAUGCGAGAUGCUGAACAACAAUGGGGAGAGAACUUGCCUACCAAUCAAGAAAACCUUUCUUGGGCCAUUAGAUCCUCACCUGGGCAGAGAGAAAACUUGCAACAUAAUGAAGUAACACAUUCUGCAAGCUGCAAAAGAUAACAGGAAGCCAAGCGCCCUGUUUGAGAUAAACAGCCUGCCCCACGCAGCAAUGCCUUGGAGGUCCAGACGCCCAUGGAGACUCUCACCCAAACUCCCAGAGUCAAAAGUCUUGUCACACUUGUUUGCACCCAGG
rnacentral:lncRNA from 1 species